rnacentral:misc_RNA from 1 species
GGUGGGUUCAACCGUGGCCGGCUCGGCAACCGGGGCAGCAAUUGCUGGUUUAGCCUGGAGUCGCAAGAAGAGGAUUGCAGCAGCGCAAGUGAGAGUGAUGCAAGUGGUUUUGAGGAGAGGGUUUAGGGUUUGAAGAAGAGAAGGUUGAGGGGUUUGCGAUGUUUUAUAGAGUGAAGCGCGAGAAGAUGAGACUCUAAUGGAGGAAAAAUUAAACGGUGGUGAUGAUGAUGAUAGCGGAGGAGGGGUUCUGAAGGAAAGGGAAAAUAUGGGUUUGGAGAAGGAUGGACGGUGGGGAUUAAGGGAGAAAUGAGAGGGUUGAGAAGAAAAGUGCAAUUUAGCAAUAGAAUCCAUGUUUGUUAGAG